rnacentral:sRNA from 1 species
GAAAAUCAUGACUUGUAGCACGCAUUGCUUUCCCAGCUCUGCAACUGAAUUCCAACCCAGGCCUAUGUAGACGAGUUCCACUCCUGUAUCUAGAUCAAGACUCAUCAUGCUCUUCUCUCAAUUGUUUCCUAACUGGAACUUAUUACCCUGUUUUGGCAAAUCAGCACUUCUGGUCUCCUGAGUCUGCCCUCAGACGACGAUUCCCGUCUUAAGGUACAUGUGGGUCCCCACCCUGCAUGUUUUCUCAUCAGCUGAAGAUUAUCUCAGUCAGGUACUGUUGGCGUCUUCAUUUCAGAGAUGGGGUCACUGAGCCGUGGAGAAGUUAGGAAACUUGCCUAGGGCAUCAAACUGCUGAGAAGUGAAGCUGGCCCAGGAUCUGCUUUUCUUGUAAAUGCACCACACUACAGUCCACACUGAACUGAGACACACAGCCUGGAGUGUGUAUGUAGCAGUUUGAACUUCCAAACAAGAACUUCUCCCCAGGAUCAAGAACUCAACCCUGCCCAGUAAGAACUCUGCCCCAGGAGACCUCAACUGAUACCAAAGAUGGCCUUCCCUUCUCGUAUCUUCCUCUUCUGUUGUUCAAAUACCGGAACCUGACAUCGGUUGUCUCUCAGAAUCCUCCAAAGAACUAACAACCCAGAGCAAAAGGAAAUUGUUUAUCUCUUGUUUGGAAAAAGCUGGACCAGGACAAGCACAGAGAUCGGCACAGCAGUGGACCCGGCUCACCAGGACCUCCGAGUUCUCUUCUUUGUACUCCACCUUUGGAAGAAGCUGCCUUUCCAAAACCUCACAGCCAAGAUACCUACUACAGUUCUAGGAAAAAAACCCAAAAAACAAUAAAACAAAACACCCCCAUUCCAGGUCCCUAGUGGUGGGAGAGAGAUUCCUUUUAACGUCUGAUUCUUGGGAAGACCCAGCCUAAGGCAUGAUGUCACUACUUGCCUUGCAUCUGGAAGAUUCUUUACUCCUUCUGCAUCUUACUCCAGAGACACAGCAAAGCAGUCAUCAACAGUUUGAGCAUGGAGGCGAGGAGCUACAGGAGAGAUGCUGAAGAUACCCAGUGAGUUCAUUGAGAUGCUGAAUCAACUCAAAAGAAGAGAGAGGAUCACAGCACUGACAUAGAAAGUAGGCCCUCCCCAAGUUAGUAUCAAUGGGGAACACAGCAGAGAAUGAAUGAGAACAUCAGUGGGGAAAUAUGCAGAAUCCAGGAGGCAGUAAAGGACACCAGAGGCAUAUGAAGGGGACAUAAUUCCUCACCUUACACAAUGGGAAAUUAACAGACACAUCUUGAGGUAGGAGCCCUGGAAAUUUCUGACCUCUGUGUUUUAUAAUACACAGCCAAUCAUGCAAGCUAAACAGUAGUUAUCCAUUUAUAUUUCAUCUUUUGAGAGCUGUUUAUUCAUUUCAUUAGUCUCUGUCACCUAGAGAUUUAUCAAUAUUACACCAUCUUUUCCUCAUGUAUACUAAAUAAAGUUCACGAUCUUUACUGUGGCA